GGUGGUGGCUCAAUGGUUAAGGUGUUGGGCUACUGAUCAGAGGGUCUGGGGUUCGAGCCUCAGCACCGCCA